GGGUGCAAGUACUCUGGGAUGGGCCUGCGUUCCAUUAGUUAGUUGGUGAGGUAACGGCUCACCAAGGCAUCGAUGGAUAGCUGGUUUGAGAGAGUGAUCAGCCACACUGGGACUGAGAUACGGCCCAGACUCCUACGGGAGGCAGCAGUGAGGAAUAUUGCGCAAUGGAGGAAACUCUGACGCAGCAACGCCGCGUGGGGGAUGAAGUUCUAUGGAGCGUAAACCCCUGUAAGUGGGGACGAACUUUAGAUAGUCGAACAGGCUAUUUAAUUGACGGUACCCGCAGAGUAAGCUCCGGCUAACUCCGUGCCAGCAGCCGCGGUAAUACGGGGGGAGCAAGCGUUGUCCGGAAUUACUGGGCGUAAAGGGCGUGUAGGCGGCUUGAUAAGUCAGAUGUUAAAGCCCCCGGCUUAACCGGGGAUAGUCAUUUGAAACUGUCAGGCUUGAGUUCGAGAGAGGGUAGCGGAAUUCCCAGUGUAGCGGUGAAAUGCGUAGAUAUUGGGAAGAACACCAGUAGCGAAGGCGGCUACCUGGCUCGCAACUGACGCUAAGGCGCGAAAGCGUGGGGAGCAAACAGGAUUAGAUACCCUGGUAGUCCACGCUGUAAACGAUGAGCACUAGGUGUUGGUUGGCCGCAGGCUGAUCAGUGCCGCAGUUAACGCAUUAAGUGCUCCGACUGGGGAGUACGAUCGCAAGGUUGAAACUCAAAGGAAUUGACGGGGGCCCGCACAAGCGGUGGAGCAUGUGGUUUAAUUCGAUCCAACGCGAAGAACCUUACCGGGGUUUGACAUCAUAGUGAAGUUUACAGAGAUGUAAAUGUUCUUCGGAACGCUAUGACAGGUGCUGCAUGGCUGUCGUCAGCUCGUGUCGUGAGAUGUUGGGUUAAGUCCCGCAACGAGCGCAACCCUUGCCCCUAGUUGCCAGCGGAUAACGCCGGGGACUCUAGGGGGACAGUCGGCGAUAAGCCGGAGGAAGGUGGGGAUGACGUCAAGUCCUCAUGGCCCUUACAUCCCGGGCUACACACGUGCUACAAUGGCCGGUACAACAAGUCGCGAUACCGCGAGGUGGAGCCAAUCUCUAAAAACCGGUCUCAGUUCGGAUUGCAGUCUGCAACUCGACUGCAUGAAGCCGGAAUCGCUAGUAAUCGUGGAUCAGCACGCCACGGUGAAUACGUUCCCGGGCCUUGUACACACCGCCCGUCACGCCAUGGGAGUUGGCAGUACCCGAAGCCGGUGUCC
rnacentral:rRNA from 1 species